CGCUGGAUCUUCUUCCCGCUAAGCGCUCCAGGAGCUCGGCCUCGAUAACUACCCACCUACGUCGCGCUGGAUCUUCUCCCCCGCUAAGCGCUCCAGGAGCUCGGCCCGCACCCCGACCAAGGCAUCGGAUCAUCAAUUCCUCUUGCGGCCUCAUCGCAAUCGUUGACGACGUCGGCGGUGCGGGCGUGCAGCUCAAGAAGAUCCACAACCCUCUCGGGCGGAGCUCAGUCGCCCUCCUCGCCUCACCCGCACCUCACCUCGCCUGACUCACCUUGCCGUUCCAGAAUCUCCGCCACACAAACGCCCAUACACAACCGCCCGGUUCUUUCGUGUCACCCGAGGAACAAAGAGAGGAGCAUAUCGACACACCAGGUUUGUUUUUUUCUCUCAUUCAUCUUUUGUCUCGAGCCAUGUCCACAUCUAAUCUAGCAUCUUGUAAGUCCGGAUCCCUUCAAGUUGUGCUUUGUGCCGGUUCGGACGGAUAUUGUAGAUUCGACUUUUCUUGUGAUGUGCAGCCGCGGGCUUGAACGAUGCCAUCAUUAUCAAUGAGCUCUCCAUUCUAUCUCCCUCUUCUUGCCUCCCGACAACCACUAUAUUGUAUAUUUUCUUACAUUAAUUAGCAGCCACCAUUAUCAAUGAAUGUUGAUAAUGAUUCUGUAGCCAUGACAACAUUUACAUCAUAUUUUAAGUACCUAUGAUUAUGGUUCUAAAAACGUAUGAAGUUCUUGUUUUCUCUCUACAUUGCUGAUAGAAAUUCGGAAGCAAGAAUACUAAUAUAUGCUUCGGUUUUCAGAAAAACAUGAACGAUGAAGGCAAGGACGAGCAUGCGGAAAAUAUGCAGAUUGAAGGCAUGAUAACGAAAGACGAGGAUGUGAACCCCGAGUCAUCAAAGACAAUAGAACAACAAGCCAUCAUGGAUGAUACAGAAAACAUACAGAUUGAUGAGGUCGUUAUUAUAUUUUCACAUGUCAUUAAUAUUGUUAUUCUGGUGGGACAAAACAAUAUGAAUUUUGUACUAUGAUAUCAAAUAUACAACUCUUUACUCACCUUCAUAAUAUUCUCUCUUUUAUAUGUAAUGGAUACCGGAUAAUAUUAUAUUAUUGUGUGUUUCAGUUACUAAGCAAGGAAGAAUCAAGUGGAAUAGACGAUAAAGAUGAAGUAGAGAAAAGGAAUAGCACGCAAGCCACUGAUUGCGAACUGACACAUGCAUGCUUUCUUUUCAACUAUCCCAAAUAGUUCUAAUCUAAUUAUAUUAUAUCCUGCAUAGGGAUUACUCUUUGUAAUGUUGCUCUUGGGAAUUAACAAGGAAGGGAACAAGUCAACAAAUGCAGCCUACUCAAGACAAUGAAUUAGCACAAACGUUCGACACCGAAGGGGCAGAAACAAUAGGGAACAAGUUGGCACAUUCAAAUGUACGAGCCGACAAAGAUGAAGCGGAGAAAAAGAAGAUCACACAGUCCACUCAUUCUGAGGUGGCAAAGUCAUCUUUUCUUUUUCAACUAUGUCCUAAAUAUUUCUAAUGCUAAUGUUAUUAUAUCCUGCAUACUUUUCUCAGGAAUUAACCCUCAAGGAAACAAGUGAACAAAUGCAUCAAGCUUAGGACGAGGAAUUAGCACAGACACGGGGCACCGAAGGGGCAGAAACUAUAGGGGAUAAGCUGGCAGAUUCAACUGAAUAGCCGGCAAAGAUGAAUUGGAGGAAAAUAAGAGCACACAGUUCACUGAUUCUAAACUCUCUGAAGUGACAGAGGCAUCUUUUCAAUUCCAACUAUGUCCCAAAUAGUUCUAAUUCUAAUUCUAUUAUAUCUUGCAUACAGAUGAUUCUUUGUAAUGUUGCUCUCAGGAAUUAACAGACAACGAAACAAGUAAACAAAUGGAGGCAUGUGGGGAUGAAGAAUUAGAACAAACGUCCGGCAGGGAAGGGGCAGAAAUUAUAGGGGACAAGCUGUCAAUGCCCGCGCACACAGUGAAGCCUAUCCGACUGCAUAACAAACCUAAG
rnacentral:lncRNA from 1 species